AUAGCGUAAGGAAGAUGUGAAGUAGACAGCAGUUUUACGCUAAUGUGUCAGUACAAAUAACAUGCCCAAACAAAUUUAAUAAUCACAGAGAGAGAAAACGAAAGGCAUUCACUAUUUCUCUGAGACGCUUUAUCGUCAAAUAUUAUGUACAACAUUGUCCCAAUCAGUUGUUGAUGCAGUCAUCGGUGUGUUGGUACUAAAAGUACAUAUGCUUCUGUAAAUGUAGUGAAACUCAUUUGUUGUAUUAAACUGAAAUCUCCAACUACAUCGAUGUUGCAGUACUUCGCCUGUGUGUCCAAGGGUUUAGUUUUCGUGUGAAACGUCGACAAUAGCUAAACAUGUAUGACUUGUACAAGAUUUUGAAUAGGGGGAUAUUUGCAGUUAAUAAAAUAAAAUAUUUCACUUCAGCAGAAGUUGUUGAACAGCUAAAGGAGACCAUACGUAGGGGUGUUCAUGAAAGAUAUUUGCCAGACCCAUUCAAAGUAGGUCAUGGUGGUACUUUAGAUGAUACAGCAACCGGAGUUUUAGUUGUAGGUGUUGGUGAGGGCUGUCAGCUUUUAGCACGAUUUCUACAUGGAAACAAAAAAUAUGUAGUAACAGGAUGUUUGGGUUCUGAAACAACUACAUAUAACGAGACUGGAAUUCAUGUCAAUUCAGCACCUUAUGAUCACAUAACAAAAGAGUCAUUAGAGGAAGCUUUGAUGUCAUUUAGAGGAAAAAUAUUGCAGACACCUCCAAAAUAUUCUGCGCUAAAGAUGGGUGGAAGAAGAAUAGCUGAUCUGACAAGAUCUGGUAUCAAUGUGGAAAUGAAACCACGACACGUUAUGUGCUACAAUGUGAAGUGCACAGAUUUCAACUCGCCAUUUUUUAAACUUGCUUUGUCUUGUGGACCUGGCUUUUAUGUACGAAGUUUGGUUCAUGACUUAGGACUUGGCCUGAAGAGCUACGCAUAUGUAACUGAAUUACGGAGAAUACAGCAUGGACCAUUUACGGAGGAUGACAUGCUUGAACCUGAGAAGUGGACUAUAGAAGAUAUCGUGUGUGCUAUUCAACAAGCAUCUGAGAAGUAUGCAGAAUUCUUACAGAAUUUAAAAAAUGGAACAAUGGCCGGUUAAGAGAGAAAUUCAUAAAAUGCUUUGAUGUAAGGAAGAGGAUGUAACUCCAAGUUGAAGAUGCAGGCAGCAGACUCCAAGUACACCAGUGUGUGUCAUAAUUACGAAAAUACUCAUUAUGUGGUUUCACUUCACUUGAAUAA